UGAGGAAUUAGAGGAAAAUACUUGGGUGGGGGGGGGGGGCGUGGUUGAGUUCAUAUUUGGGAGGAGGAAUCAUUUUCACCCUUGUGAAAAUUAAACUCUUGUGCUGCAGAACUGCUGACCUGAAGGUAAGCAGUUUGAAUCCUCCGUACAGGGUGAGCUCCCACUGUUAGCCCUAUUAUUAUUAUUAUUAUUAUUAUUAUUAUUAUUAUUAUUAUUAUUAUUAUUAUUAUUAGCGACAUUUAUAUCCCGCCCUUCUCACCCCGAAGGGGGCUCAGGGCGCUUUACAAGAGUAUAUACAUACAAUAUAUAUUAUAGGACUAUAUUGCAAUAUUAUUAGUAAUAUUGCAUUUAAUAUAAAUAUUACAUUUAUGAUACUGAACUGUAUGUCUUAAAAAAGGACUGUUUCACAUUGCUGGUGGCAACACUAGGCAUCACUGGGCAGCUGUGAAGGUCCUAGCACUCUGCCAUAUCCCAUCAUUGAUGCCUGUUCUGGUUCCCAUGUUCUGGGCACUGCUAGGAGUUUGAUCCAAAGAAACUUUGACAUAGCAUCACUUUGGGGAAUUUACAUAGCAUCACUAGUUCCUGCCAACCUAGCAGUUCGAAAACAUGCGAAUGUGAGUAGAUCAAUAGGUACCGCUUCAGCGGGAAAAGACAAAAAUGCCGGCCACACAACCAGGAGGUGUCUAAAAACAACGCAGCUUGGAAAUAGAGAUGAGCAUUUUCCCUAGAGCCGGAAAUGAAAGGAGAAGCCUUUGCCGUUGUCUGUGUAUUUGUGUCUCAUUGUAUGUCAUUGUAACAAGGCCUGUGUCAGUGUAUAUGCUGUAAUUUGCUCUGAGUCCCCUCGGGAAGAAGGGCGGAAUAUAAAUAAAGUGUUGUUGUUAUAGUUGUUGUUGUUGUUGUUGUUAUUCCCUUUGGAAGGCUGAGGAGGGGAAGAGGAAUGGGAAAAAUCAGCACGAAUCCUGGGAAUUGUAGUUUAGUGAGGGUCCGGAACUGUUUCUGGGCCCUCCAGGUGUUUUGGACAUCAAUUCCCACAAUUCCUAACAGCCUAACGGAAAUGGGAAUUGCAGUCCAAAACACCUGGAGGGAAGGCCCAAGUUUGCCCAUGCCUGGUUUAACUUCUGGUCUGCUAGCAAAACUGAAUUACUGUGUCGCAAAAUGAUGCCUGUCUAAAAAUUGUGUCGCUGACAUGAAACGACUGGAAAGCUCUGGUUUAGACUGUAACAAGGUUGUCCUCUGCUCCUUAGUGUUGGUCUGGAGGGGGGGCGUGAAGGCUCAGCUGGGAGUCCCACCAUCUCAGCCUCCCCCUCCUCCUCCUGCUCCUCUGAUUGGGCCUUUCCUGCAGGGCAGAAGGGGGUUGGACUAGAUGGCCCAUGUGGUCUCUUCCAACUCUAUGAUUCUAUGGAUUCAUCCCACUAGAGCAUGGAACUGCUCAGCCAGACAAGCCCUGGGCCUCACUAAACUACAAACCCCAGAAUUCUGCAGGAGACAGAAACCAGAUUUAAAGUGAAUUCAGGCUCUAAUCAUGUGAUGAGGCUGUUAGACUCUUCUGCUGCUGAAGCUGAAGCUGAAUCCUGCCGGAUCCUUCGCAACACCUGAGGCACAAUGGGCUUUCCCUGGGCCCACAAUGAAAAGAACACAGUGGCCUCAGGACUUAUACAUUUUGACUGAUAAAUUAAUGAUUUAAAUAAUAAUAAUAACAAUAAUAAUAAAAAAUAAAACAUGUAUAAGUAAAUUAGGAGCCCCGGUGGCACAGUGCAUUAAAGCACUGAGCUGCUGAACUUGCAGACCGAAAGGUGCCGGGUUCAAUCCCGGGAGCGGAAUGAGCGCCCGCUGUUAGCCCCAGCUCCUGCCAACCUAGCAGUUCGAAAACAUGCCAAUGUGAGUAGAUCAAUAGGUACCCCUCCGGCGGGAAGGUAACGGCACUCCAUGCAGUCAUGCCAGUGGCCACAUGACCUUGGAGGUGUCUACGGACAACGCUGGCUUUUCGGCUUAGAAAUGGAGAUGAGCACCAACUCCCAGUCAGUCACGACUGGACUUAACGUCAGGGGAAACCUUUACCUUUACUUUACCUAUAAAUAGAUUAAAGGUGUGUAGUAGAGGGAUAUGUAGUAAAGUUGUAAUGGAAAAGUGAAAAACUGAUAAGAAAUAUGCUUUAAAAUGUUCUUGAUUUUUUAAAUGUCAGAUUGUACACAAUAUGAUAUGUCUUAAGAUAUUGUAAAAUAAGGAAAGAAUGUAUACUGGUGCAUUUUGAUUGAUAAAUUAAUUUAAAAAUGUAAAAAAAAAAGGACAACUGAAGGGAAAAGAGAUUGGGAAAAUAGACAAAGGUCUGGCAUGUGCUGUGCAACAGAACAGAAAUGAGAGACCAAAAAGAGAGGAGAGUUCAAGCCUAGGGAAAAGUUCACUCUAGUAACACCGCAGGUGCAAGAAGGAAAACCACUUCCGAGACAACACUGAUAAGAGAGAUGCCAGAAGGGAAGAGAAAAGAUGAGGCAAAGUUCAGAGAAAAAUACUUGUGUGCGCACGCUCCAAGUAUGCUCAGAGUUUGGCCUUAAAGCUAAGCAACUCUCAGCUGUGUGUGUGGCACUUUUCAUACCCAGCAGAGAGUUUUGUCCAAAUACAUGUAUUGAAUGAUCUCCUUGGCUUCCAGAGUCUGGUUGGAUAAGAGACCCUGAAGGGGUUUUUGGGCUACUUGGAAAUGGGGGACACGGCAGCAAGUCCCAACAUAACAACCGUGGGGGGGGGGGGGAACGAAUGUGUGGGGAGGCUUCACUGGGAGCUGGUUGUGGGCCCACCGGCCACGAAGUCCUGGGGUGGGAGGGAAUGAAUCAGACGGCUGCUUCAUAAAUAAAUGGGGCGGGAGCGUGGAGGCAGGAUGAAUCAAGGCUUGGCCGUCCCUCUCUGGCAAAAAUAGCUUUACUCCUCCCUCCCUCCCUCCCCCCCCCCAUCAGAUGCUUUCUCAGAAAAUGCCUGGAGGUGGAAGAAGAAGACAUCCUCCCUUUCUGCCCACAUCAAGAGUGCAAAGCCUUCCCCACGAGUGUGUGUUUGUGCACAGAGUGAGGCCAAAGUCACCAGGAAGAGGUCACAGACCGAAAGAGCUCCUUCAAUCUAUGGGGCAAAAUCCACUCUAGUUCUACCCGACAUCCGCCAAUACAUUGAAAAACAAAUCAAUGGCCCACGGAUCAGAAAGGCUCAGUAUACAUUCCAAUCCCCAGGAAAGAUCGCUUUGCAAAUAUGCACUGCAUAAUGGAGCUCACCAAAGAAUUUCAGGAGAGAAUCAGCCUGCAAUUUAUAAUUACAGCAAAGCCUUUGAUUGCGUAGAUCAUGAAAAGCCAUGGAUGUCUCUUACGGAAAUUGCUCUGCCACCAUUUCACUGCUCUGACGCAUAGCCUGGACGCAGGACAGAACGGGAAGAAAAGGACGGGUUUCCAGCCGGCAAAGAAGGCCAAGCAAAGAUGCGUUUGAUC
rnacentral:lncRNA from 1 species